rnacentral:rRNA from 1 species
GACGAACGCCGGCGGCGUGCUUAACACAUGCAAGUCGAACGGUAAGGCCCUUCGGGGUACACGAGUGGCGAACGGGUGAGUAACACGUGGGUGAUCUACCCUGCACUUCGGGAUAAGCCUGGGAAACUGGGUCUAAUACCGGAUAGGACCACUGCCUGCAUGGGUGGUGGUGGAAAGCUUUUGCGGUGUGGGAUGGGCCCGCGGCCUAUCAGCGUGUUGGUGGGGUGAUGGCCUACCAAGGCGACGACGGGUAGCCGGCCUGAGAGGGUGACCGGCCACACUGGGACUGAGAUACGGCCCAGACUCCUACGGGAGGCAGCAGUGGGGAAUAUUGCACAAUGGGCGCAAGCCUGAUGCAGCGACGCCGCGUGAGGGAUGACGGCCUUCGGGUUGUAAACCUCUUUCAGCACCGACGAAGCGCAAGUGACGGUAGGUGCAGAAGAAGGACCGGCCAACUACGUGCCAGCCGCCGCAGUAA